UACGUAGGGCGCAAGCGUUGUCCGGAAUUAUUGGGCGUAAAGAGCUCGUAGGCGGCCUGUUGCGUCCGCUGUGAAAUCCCGGGGCUUAACCCCGGGCUUGCAGUGGAUACGGGCAGGCUGGAGGCAGGCAGGGGAGAACGGAAUUCCCGGUGUAGCGGUGAAAUGCGCAGAUAUCAGGAGGAACACCGGUGGCGAAGGCGGGUCUCUGGGCCGAUACUGACACUGAGGAGCGAAAGCGUGGGGAGCGAACAGG
rnacentral:rRNA from 1 species